AGGAAAAACUGUUGCCAGCCACUACAAAAACACAUUGAAGUACAAAGACCAAUGAUAUUAUGAAGCAACUACAUCAAUAAGUCUGCAAAAUAAUCAGCUAUCAUCAUGAUGACAGGAUCAAAUUCACGCAU